CAGCCGCCGCGGUAAUACGAAGGGGGCUAGCGUUGCUCGGAAUGACUGGGCGUAAAGGGCGCGUAGGCGGCGAUCAAAGUCAGGCGUGAAAUUCCUGGGCUCAACCUGGGGGCUGCGCUUGAUACUUGGUUGCUUGAGUGGGGAAGAGGGUCGUGGAAUUCCCAGUGUAGAGGUGAAAUUCGUAGAUAUUGGGAAGAACACCGGUGGCGGAGGCGGCGACCUGGUCCUUGACUGACGCUGAGGCGCGAAAGCGUGGUGAGCAAACAGGAUUAGAUACCCCCGUAGUCCCUGUCUCUUAUAC
rnacentral:rRNA from 1 species